CAAUCGUGCUUGGGACCCAUCCCAAUGUCAUCACAUGGCUGUGGUGACUAGUGUAUACCUGGGAGAGUUUUCCUCAACUGAGAUGGAGUGUAGGUGGAUGGAUUAUGAGAAAUGCGAAGAUCAUGAGUUCAAGGCUAGAUGCACUUCACAUUCGGCGUGCGAUCUCGGCGUCUGGGACCUGAUAACGUCUUGGUUGGAUGGGUAAUCAAGGAUGAUACUACUCGGCACACCAAUGUACAUGUCAAUGUAUUUUUUACUUUUUCAGAGCUGCACUAUUUACGGACGAUUGUGGCUGUUAGAGAGGAAAUAAAUUAAUAGUAUUCACAAACAAGUCCCACUUAUUGUUUCUGUUCGUAAAAGGAAAUUGCAAUUUUUUGGUCAUAUUGUUCGUUCCGGCUGUUUGUCAUUGACUGUUCUUCAGUGUUGUGUUGCUGGAGGCCGUGGCCGAGGCAGGCCCAGAAUGUCAUGGCUUGAUAAUAUUAUUUCAUGGACUGCACUUGACGUGCAGUCCCUGCUCGCUGCUGCACGCGAUCGAUUUUUAUGGCGCUCGCUUGUUCAUACUUGCUCUGUGACGCCCCGACGGCCUUAGGGCUAUGGGCUUGUGAUGACGACUAUUUACGUCUUGAUGCUUAA